rnacentral:rRNA from 18 species
UGAAACAUCUAAGUACCCGGAGGAAAGGAAAUCAAUAUGAUACUCCCCUAGUAGCGGCGAGCGAACGGGGAGCAGCCCUUAAGCUGUUUAGAAUUUAGUGGAAUCCUUUGGGAAGAGGAGCGAUACAAGGUGAUAGCCCUGUACACGACGGAUUCUUUACAGUGAAAUCGAGUAGGUCGGGACACGUGUUAUCUUGACUGAAUAUGGGGGGACCAUCCUCCAAGGCUAAAUACUCCUGACUGACCGAUAGUGAACCAGUACCGUGAGGGAAAGGUGAAAAGCACCCCGGAAGGGGAGUGAAAUAGAACCUGAAACCGUGUGCUUACAAGUAGUCAGAGCCCGUUAAUGGGUGAUGGCGUGCCUUUUGUAGAAUGAACCGGCGAGUUACGAUUUGAUGCAAGGUUAAGCAGUAAAUGUGGAGCCGUAGCGAAAGCGAGUCUGAAUAGGGCGCCCUAGUUCGUUGGAUUAGACCCGAAACCGAGUGAUCUAGCCAUGGC